GCUCCUGUACCUCAGUUGUAGCACCGACGGUAACCAGCAGUACCUCAACGGACAGGUGAAAGUCUUCUUUGGCAACUUUUCAAGCGACUACUGCUUCUCCAACACAAGCCAGCAGGUGUAUUAAAACGAAAAGAUCAACAUAACAUCAGGUUUCUGUCUCAUUAUGGCAUCGCCAGCAAUGAUCACGGUCCCUACCACCGCCUCUCGCUUCGCCCUGCUGCAGAUAGACUCGGACUCGGACUCCGACACCUCUGAGCCGGGGAAGACCUCAACUAAAAACGGACGGGACUCGUCCGGGAAGAUCCGGCAAGGAAAGGCAGGAGCUGGGGGUAAAGCAGGUCAGGUCAACGACAAAAAGAAAGACAAGAAAAAGAAGAAAAAGGAACAGCAGCAGAGUGAGGCAAAUGAGCUACGCAACCUGGCCUUCAAGAAGAUCCCUCAGAAGUCUUCCGUCCCGCCUCCACACAUGUCACUGUCAGGAAUAGCCAGUGAACUUCUCAAUCCUGCAGCAGGCGACCAUAGUAUACCUGCAGAGGGUUGGCAGCAAUGGAAGCAGAGGGAUGAGCAGAUGACCUCUGAACUAUAUGAGGCUGAUUUGGAAAAGGCCUUGAUUCUCAGUAAACUGGAGUUCGAAGAAAAUAAACAGCAGACCGGCACAAACACAUCCUCGCCAAAGUCUCGUGGAGGGAAAGAGGGCGGAGGGAAGAAGGACAAAAAGAAGAAUCAGCAGGCUAAAGACAAAAAGACUGUUUCUCUGCAGGACUUCCAGGCUGAAGGCAGUGUAGAACACUCAAGUAAGAAACAAGAGAAAGAGGAUGGCAGAGCGGCAAACCCAGAAUUGGGAAUCGGGCAAGAAGAGCGUUUUUUUAAUAAACUGGAGGAUGACGUCAGUCGGAUUAUUCAACGAGAGAAGAGACGUGAGCAGUACUCUAACAGCCAGGGACAAGAAGUCAACACCUCAACAGAACACGAACCAGACCCCCGUGCAGAGCAGCUGAAGUACGACCUGGAGAAGAAAGACCAGGAGAUUGAUAAGCUAAAGAAAACUAUUUCACAAUGGGAGGUGAAAUACAAAGAGGUGAAAGCAAGAAAUGCCCAGCUGCUGAAAAUGCUCCAACAGGGAGAGAUGAAAGAUAAAGCAGAAAUCCUGCUACAAGUAGAGGAGCUACUACAUAUCAAAGAAGAACUAUCAUCACAGGUAACAUUACUACAUGGUGCUCUUGAACAAGAAAGGUCUAAAGUCAAAGGUCUGCAGUCCGAACAGCCGAAACAUCAGGUAAGUGCACAAAUAAUCACUCACUAUCACUCACUCACAACUGUGAUUUACUGUUGCAUCUGUACUCGUUCACUCGUAUCAGAGUUGAGACGUAGAUGCUGAGAGAUGAUGAUGAUGUGUUACUCUACAAUGAAUUGCAUGGAUGGGAUUAUCUGGGUAUUAGCAGAUCUUGGUGUGUGUGUACUUGCAUGCAUGUUCCUUGUUUCCCUCUGUAGACCAGUGAAACUUCAGGCAGUAGGUCAGGUGAAGGGAAAAAAAAUUCAGUGGAAACAAGAAGGGGAAGAAAGGCUCUGAGUCGGAUCUAUGAAGGCUCCCACAGGAAAGCACCUUAACUGCAAAAUCAAAUUAAUGAAUGAACAAAUGAAGAAAAACCCUACUGAUCAUUAUAAGGGUUCUCUUUCCUUAUUUUUUUAUGUCGGACGCCGUGUCAGCAUAUAAUGCAUGCCCCUCUAAACACAAACAGACACACAUACACACACAACACUCCAGACAUAGCAGGAUGUAUUACGAACAAGAAUUUCAGAGGCUUUUAAAAAUGAGUGACUUUUAAGUUUGUGUUUAAAAUGGUGUCCUGGCUCUCAAUGCUGCCCUCUGCAGGCAUAAAUGUUCCACUGCAUCUGCAAGGCUGUGUGCCUGGUUUCUCUGUGGGUUUUAAGGCCAAACUGACAGAUGUGAAAUGUAUGUUCUCUUUUCAUUUCGAACUUUCUCACUGUUAAGUAAAUAAAAAUACUUUUUCUUUGAGGAAACA